UCAGCUCUCUUGCCAUUUGGCUAAGAUCAAGAUGCAGUGGUCGUAUGUUUAGUUUAAUCUCUAGACGCGUGCUACGUGCACAUCACUGAUUAACCCAGUUUUUGGAAUCUGGUCUCUGGUUGCUAAGCUUGCUUGGUAUUCCAGAGUACCACGGUGUCGUUCCUAUUGCACUAUCUGGUCCUGACGCGAACCUCCU
rnacentral:snRNA from 1 species